GAGACCUGUGUCUACAAUUGCCACCAGACCGAAAGGUGACUGGGCACAUUGUAGAGACUGCCUUGGAAACAAGGAGGAAGGCGCAGGCGACGGUAGGUCUGUAUGCUCCGAAUCUUCUGGGCUACACGCGCGCAACAAUGGUGAAGACAAUGGGCUGCAACUCCGAAAGGAGGAGCUAAUCCUCGAAACUUCACCCAAGUACAGAUUGAGGGUUGUAACUCACCCUCAUGACGAUGGAAUCCCUAGUAAUCGGACGUUAUCAGCGUCCGGUGAAUAU
rnacentral:rRNA from 1 species